rnacentral:rRNA from 1 species
GUGUAACAAGGUUUCCGUAGGUGAACCUGCGGAAGGAUCA